AUUGUCUGACAAAGAGUUUAAAGCAGGCAAGCCUGAUGAAAAUGAUUUAGUGGUACUUAUAAGCACACUUGAAACAAAUGGACAAGUAGAAAGACUCAGCAAAUAAAUACAAGACAUAAAUGAGAACCAAAUGGAAGUAUUAGAAGUGAAAAAUACAACAACUAAAAUAAAAAGUCCAGCAGAUAGGCUCAGCAGCAGAAUGGAUGGUGCGAAGCAAACAAAUCCAUAUACUGCAGAUGAGAAAAACAGAAAUUACAGAAUCCUAACAGGGAAAAAAUAGACUGGGGGAGAAAGUGAACAGAACCUCAGGGACCUGUGAAACUACCUCAAAAGUUCUCACUUUCAUGUUGCUAUCAGUGUCUGGAAGGGGAAGAGGAAGAAGACAAGGCUGAAAACAUACUCAAAGAAGUAAACGGCUGAAAGCUACCCAGAUUUGGCAAAAGACAUAAACCUACAGGCUCAAUAAGCUGUUAGAACCCCAAAUAGGAAAAAACCCAAAGAGGUCUAUGGCAAGACAUGAAAAAAUAAAAUGUUGGAAAAGAAAGACAAGGAAAAUAUCUGGAAAACAACACAGAAAGGUGACACCUUACCUAGAAAGGAAAAACAAUUCUGGUGAUGAUGGAUUUCUCAUCAGAAACCAUGGAGGCAGAAAGAAGUUGUGCAGUGCUUUUCAAGCCGUGAAAGAAAAUAAUUGUCAGCCCAGACUCCUCUGUCCAACAGAAACAUCUUUCAGGAAUUAAGGGGAAGAUCAAAACAGUUUCAGAUUAAGAAAAGCUAAGGGAAUCUCUGACCAGCAGUUCUGCCUUAAAAGAAAAGCAAAAGGGAGUUCUCCAGACAGAAAGGAAAUGAUUAAAGAAGGAAACUUGGGACGUCAGAAAGAAAAUUUUUAAAAAACAGUGAGCAAAAUAGGCCUUCUUUCUCCUCUUGUGUUUUCUAAACUAUGCCUGACGGUUUCAGAAAAAAAUCAUAGCACCAUCCGAUGUGGUUCUAACUCUACAUACAGAAAAUGUUGGAAACAAUUAUAAACUGGAAGGGUAAAGAGACCUACAUAGGAGGUUGCUUGUCUAUUGUUCACUCAACUGGUGAAACAAUGACACCAGUAUACUGUGUGGUCAGAUAUAGAUGCACAGACAUAUGAAUAUAUAUAUAUACCUGGAAAAACCAAGAGGGCUAUACAAACACAUAUACUAAAAAAUACUAUGGAUAAGGCAAAACACCAUUCUCAAAGAUGCUUAAGUCACCACAGCAGGUAAGAAAAAUAAAGCAUAUCCAGAAAAUGAAACCAGAGAGAACAAACAGAAAAGGAAAAAUAAAAUGGCAGACUUAAGCCCUACCAUAUCAAUCAUCACAUUAAAUAUCAAUGGGCUAAGUACACCAAUUACAAGACAGAGAUUGGCAGAGUAGGUUAAUGGACAUGACCCAACUACAUCCUGGCUACAAAGAGACUACCUUCAAAUAUGAUGAUACAGGCAAGUUGAAAUCAAAAGGAUGGAAAAAGAUAUAUCAUGCAAACAUUAGCUAAAGGAAAGUAAGACUGGCUAUAUUAAUGCCAGAUAUAGUAUAUUUCAGAACAAAGAAACUAAUCAGAGAGAGAGAGGGACGUUAUAAAAUGAUGAAAGGACCAAUCCACCAACCCCUCCCCUGACGAGGCCGGUUGAGAUGUGUGAAGCAGCUCUGGCUACAGCGGGUAGGGAGAGGGCGCGCGGGACCCAGGAGCCUCCGUGCGGAGCCAGGCCUCAGGAGCAGCCGCCUUGUUCCUGGAAGGGGUGCCUCCCUCCAUCUUGUCUCCAAAGACUGUAGGGAGACCUUCUCGCCCGGUAGGAAAGCGACGUCUCCCAUGCUUUCCCACCACGCAGGCCUUGUGGCCUUUCUCCUGCUAGUGUCUGCCCUCCAACCUGCGGGGGCUGCGGCUGCCACGGUUCCACGCUGGGUGGACGCUGCCUGCCCGGGAUCCAAGAGCCGCCGUUGCAGGCGGGAGUUGGGGAGUCGUGUGCAGGUCCGAAGGAGACCCAAGCUCUUGGUCAAGGCUUUUUUGCUAUAGCCAAAUUCAGCGUGUAAGAGACAGAGAGCUCACAUCUGUCUGUUCGUAAGCUUCGGUGAGAACACCAAGGAAGCGCACUCAAGAUUCGUAGGAGGGCGGGAAGGGUCCCUGGCGGCGAUAUCCGCGUCGGCGGUGAGCCAAGGCAUGUCAGGAGAGUGAGUGCGCGAACCCAGCCGCCGGAUAGCGCAAACACCACCGCGGACGAGGGCCCCGCAUGUGGAGAAAUCGCAGGGGUCAGCGGAGCCGAAGUGUGGUGGACUAGCCUCCUCCGGGGAGAACCCCCUUCCUGACCACUGUAUGUCCCCCGCCACAUAAGGGGAGAGGAGGGACAGCACAGCCUACUCUCCCCUGGCGGACGAUCAGGGUCACCACCUUCUCCUCUGCUCUCCCCUCGCCAUUCUUCCAAACCACCCUCCGCCAAAGAUUCCACGGACAGUCACCCUCCCAACAACCCAGGCCUCCUUUCAGCAGCGGCUCCCGCCCCACAGCCACCACGCCCUCUCACCCCCGCGGUUCUGCCCGCCGCCUCUGCCGAGUCUGUGCACUUCACCUCCCUGGGUCCCGCUCCCCCCUGAGCUUACAGUGGACGAGGGGCAGGACGGGGGAAAGGCCGUUCGGCUGCCCUUCUAGCUUCAGAAUCACCCAGUGAACGGGUUUCAACCGUAGCCGGCAAGAUGCGCCUCUCCGGUUUUCCGAGGCUUUGGAACCUGCACAAUUGUUCUGCAAAAGACGGUGGCUCCGCCUAGCAUUGGAUGGGCGCUUGCUCUGCAUGGUGAUGCCGGAGCGAGGGUCGACUGUCCGUCUGUCGCAGUCGGGUGGUGUGCUUGCUUCCAAGUCUGGAGUUGGCUGGUUCAAGCUCGUUCUACUGAGCGUUUCUUGCAUUUUAAAAAUGCUUAAACCGCUGGCAACUUUCUUCUACCCAGCACAUUCUCUCAUGGAAUGGCAGAGCAAGACCAACUUUACCCGCCUCUCCUCCGUGUCUCCCAUACGACAUGAGGACGUAAAUCAAGAUCUGGAUUUUCAUCUGGUAUUGGAUUCCUUCUGCCCGGAAGACUCCUUUGACGUUUCUGUAGUGUGGGUCAGCUGGUAGUGAAUUCGGUCAGCUUAUGAACUCAAAAGAGGUGUAGGAGGAGAGAAGCUCAAUUAUCACCCUGGUCUCCUGGAGUAUCCCAGGCACAGUCCCAGGAGUUCAGCUUUUCAUACUCGAGUUCCUGGGUCCUGAAGGCCUUUUUGGGGAAAGUACUGAUGUUCGUGUCAAGGUUGGGAAGAAAGGGUUUGGGAGGAACCAAGCAACAGGGAGGCAAAGAGAAGACAUCAACAAGCGAGGCAAGAACUUUCCACAGGCUCACACUGGAUACAGGACCAGAGACAAGAAGCUGGCAGUGUGGUGGGGAGGCCAUGGCAAUCAUUAGCUCUGGAGGCCUGAGGAGGACACUCUGAAGAGGAAAGCCCCGCGAUCAUCCGGUUUCACCCCUGUUUUCAUCUACUCUUUUCCUCAGCGAAGCCUAUAUGGGUUCCCGAUGUCACAUCGCAGCUACCGCAUUGGAGGGUUAAGAGCCGCUGACAAAUCUCUUUCGGGAAGGGGCUGUUUCCCUCCCUGUUUUCCUCAGAAGAAGAGUUCCAAACAAAAGAUCUACUACCCUGAGAAGCGGUGAAGUGCUCCUGGGGCCCACCAAGGCCACACAAGUCAAGGAGUGGAUGGCCUUGCCCCAGCUAUGGCUCAGAUCACCUUUGCAGGAUGACAUCUUGUUGGGAGAUGGUCAUCAGAGACAGGGCCAUGGAAGACGCUGUCAGGAGGAGGCACAGAGGAAAGGCUAUGGGAGCACAAAGCAAGAAAGUGGCCUUCUGCAAGCCAGGAAGAGAGGCCUCCCCAGAAACCAACUCUACCAGCACAUCGAUCUUGGACUUUUGGCCUCUAGAACAUUGAGAAAAUAAAAGUCUGCUGUUAAACCACC